CGCCUGGGGAGUGCGGCCGCAGGGUUAAAACUCAAAUGAAUUGACGGGGGCCCGCACAAGCGGUGGAGCAUGUGGUUCAAUUCGAUGCAACACGAAGAACCUUACCUACUCUUGACAUCCUGCGAAUUCGGUAGAGAUACCUUAGUGCCUUCGGGAACGCAGAGACAGGUGCUGCAUGGCUGUCGUCAGCUCGUGUCGUGAAAUGUUGGGUUAAGUCCCGUAACGAGCGCAACCCUUGUCCUUAUUUGCCAGCGCGUAAUGGCGGGAACUCUAAGGAGACUGCCGGUGACAAACCGGAGGAAGGUGGGGACGACGUCAAGUCAUCAUGGCCCUUACGAGUAGGGCUACACACGUGCUACAAUGGUCGGUACAAAGGGUUGCCAACUCGCGAGAGUGAGCCAAUCCCGAAAAGCCGAUCUCAGUCCGGAUCGGAGUCUGCAACUCGACUCCGUGAAGUCGGAAUCGCUAGUAAUCGUGGAUCAGAAUGCCACGGUGAAUACGUUCCCGGGCCUUGUACACACCGCCCGUCACACCAUGGGAGUGGACUGCACCAGAAGUGGUUAGCCUAGCGCAAGAGGGCGAUCACCACGGUGUGGUUCAUGACUGGGGUGAAGUCGUAACAAGGUAACCGUA
rnacentral:rRNA from 1 species